rnacentral:other from 1 species
UAGCCCCAAGGAAGACUUAACGUCAGGGGAUGCAAAGGAAGGCCAGUGAAGACAUGAUGUCUCACUUAAGGAUUAAGAUUGUCAUGGAUGAUAUAGGACACGCUUAAGGACAGAGCAGGCUCAGUAAAGGAAUUGCUGAGAUAAAGGACGGUAUCUUAGAUGAUACAGGGAACACAAGGAUGCUAAGGACAGGUGCCAAGGAUGCAAGUUAGACGCAUGGACGGUGCAGGGAGCACAAGAAUAGCAGGAUUGCUUAACAAAGAAUAAGAGGCCACGAAUUAUUUCGUGGCCUUUCUUUUUGGU